GAGGUGUUAGUAAAACUAUUACAUAGUCUUGUCAAGACUAAAUUACAGGUGAAAGCCCAGUACACCUCAA
rnacentral:tRNA from 1 species